AUUGAACGCUGGCGGAAUGCUUUACACAUGCAAGUCGAACGGCAGCACGGACUUCGGUCUGGUGGCGAGUGGCGAACGGGUGAGUAAUGCAUCGGAACGUGCCCAAUCGUGGGGGAUAACGUAGCGAAAGUUACGCUAAUACCGCAUACGAUCUAAGGAUGAAAGCGGGGGAUCGCAAGACCUCGCGCGAAUGGAGCGGCCGAUGUUAGAUUAGGUAGUUGGUGGGGUAAAGGCUCACCAAGCCGACGAUCUAUAGCUGGGCUGAGAGGAUGAUCAGCCACACUGGGACUGAGACACGGCCCAGACUCCUACGGGAGGCAGCAGUGGGGAAUUUUGGACAAUGGGCGAAAGCCUGAUCCAGCCAUUCCGCGUGCAGGAUGAAGGCCCUCGGGUUGUAAACUGCUUUUGUACAGAACGAAAAGCUCUGGGUUAAUACCCUGGGGUCAUGACGGUACUGUAAGAAUAAGCACCGGCUAACUACGUGCCAGCAGCCGCCGUAACAC
rnacentral:rRNA from 1 species